rnacentral:rRNA from 1 species
CAGUCGCCACGGUUAUACGAAGGGGGCUAGCGUUGUUCGGAAUUACUGGGCGUAAAGCGUACGUAGGCGGUUUUGUAAGUUAGAGGUGAAAGCCCGGAGCUCAACUCCGGAAUUGCCUUUAAGACUGCAUCACUUGAACGUCGGAGAGGUGAGUGGAAUUCCGAGUGUAGAGGUGAAAUUCGUAGAUAUUCGGAAGAACACCAGUGGCGAAGGCGGCUCACUGGACGACUGUUGACGCUGAGGUACGAAAGCGUGGAGAGCAAACAGGAUUAGAUACCCCUGUAGUCCCUGUCUCUUAUAC